rnacentral:lncRNA from 1 species
GGGAGACACGCAGGAGUCAGCAGCAGCGUCGGGCCAGCAGCGUUGCUUCUGCACACCUGCGGCUGCGCCUCCAUCCGCUCCCUCACUGAGCACCUCCCGUGUCCCAGGCCCGGGCGAUCCAAGCCCCGAGAAAGCAAACUUCGCUUUUUUAAGGAUGAAGUCUCUGCAGCUGGACUGGGACUCAAACCCAGGGCCGCCUGAUCCCAGAGCCUUCCCCAGAUGCACCACUCAGACCCCCUUCAAGAGAGGACUCGGCAGCAGACGUUUGCUGGCAGCCCCCACGCUAAUUCCUUCAGUCAAGCUUAGCCGGAUCUUCGUGGUGAUGCUGCCUCCAGGCCUUGGAACACUGCCAGAUGCUCUCCACAGGCACCUGUUGAAUGAGUGAAUGAGCAAUGCUGCCAGGCGAGUCCACGAAGAAGGGGAGAGCUGUCCUGCAGCGGAUGCCCGAGAGGACGGGAGCUGGAGGACACAGCCGGCUCCACAGAGGCCUCUCAGAGGGGAGCUGACUUUAAUCAUGCUGGGGGGUGGCAGCGGACGCUGCAGAAGUGACAGGCUAAGGAAGCAUGAACAUUCCAGAGCCCUGUCAAGUCCUGCAGACCCGACCGCACAUCACUUCCCACUGCCGACCUUGAGGAAGCAAGCGGGGCUGACCCCACCAAACUGGGUCCCAGAUAGUGCUCAGAGCUUCAUUUCUCAGGACGCCAGUGCCAGUAACUCAUGAUGCCAUCCUGGAGCGGUGCAAGCCAGCAGGUUCCAUGUUCCCAAGGAGUGAGUUCACUGCACCUCAGAGAAAUAAUCCUGCAUCAGCUU